CUUGACCGUGCCGAGCAGCAGCGGGGUCUCCCGGCCCUGGCCGUAGGUGUCCAGCAGCGCCUGCGCCUC
rnacentral:antisense_RNA from 1 species